AUGCCAAACGAAGUGUUCGCCCAUGUGCCAGUGUCACACGUUUCUACAGUCCAGCUCCGUCCAAGCCCCAAGUCCAAACAGAAACAGUCGACUCGCUGCACACGGCACGGACACGGGAGAGGCAACCACGCAAAAACCGCGACCGAGCCAGCCCGAGCUGAACCUACACUCCAAGCCGCCGCGGUUGCUUCCGGUUCGCCACCACUCGCUCCGCUCGCUGUACCGCCCUCCCUCCCCCUUCCCUUCCCCAUGGCCGCCUCGCCUUCCCUCCACGCCCCCCGCCUCCUCCCGCUGCUCCCGAACCCCGCCCCGAGCCUCGCCAGGCCCCGGCGUCGCUUCACGGCGGCGUCGGCGGUGCCGCCGUCGCGGAACGGGAGCUCGGCGGGGACGGACUGGUGCCCCGUGCCCCCGGAGCAGCGGCCCGUGAACGAGUACGAGGCGCUGGCCGCGUCGCAGCCCUUCUCCUGGGCGGCGGGGGACCUGCGCCUCUACUGCUCCCGCCUCGCCUUCACGGGGGCCGCCUUCGCGCUCUUCGUCGGCCUCCCCGUCGCGGCCUUCGGCGGCCGCGGGGGCGUCGGCGGCGACGCCCUGCACCUCGCGCUCGGGGCCACCGGCUCCGGGAUCCUCGCCGUCACGCUCGCCGUCGUAAGGAUGUACCUCGGCUGGGCCUACGUCGGGAACCGCCUGCUCAGCGCCACCGUCGAGUAUGAGGAGACGGGAUGGUACGACGGGCAGAUAUGGGUUAAAACCCCAGAAGUUCUAGCUCGUGAUCGUCUUCUCGGAUCAUUUUCUGUGAAGCCGGUGCUGAACAGAGUGAAGUUCACCCUGGUGGGCCUGGCGGUGUCGCUGACCCUCUGCAUCCUCCUCUACGCCAACACCGAGAAGCCGAGGGAGCCGCUGGAGAACCCCGCCGGCGGGAGGGCCAUCCCCGGGGUGUACAGCGACACCGCCGCGAGGUCCUUCGAGCCCGACGCCUUCUGCGGGGAGCCCGACCUCGGCGACCAGUCGGAACUGUAA
rnacentral:rRNA from 1 species